rnacentral:rRNA from 1 species
ACAAGCGGAGGAGGCAUGUGGUUUAAUUCGAUGAUACGCGAGGAACUUACCUGGGCUCGAACGUAAGAUGACUGUAGGUGAAAGCUUACAUCUCUUCGGAGCAUUUUACGAGGUGCUGCAUGGUUGUCGUCAGCUCGUGCCGUGAGGUGUCGGGUUAAGUCCCAUAACGAGCGCAACCCCUACCUUUAGUUGCCAUCAGGUAAUGCUGGGGGACUCUAAAGGAACUGCCUACGCAAGUAGUGAGGAAGGCGGGGAUGACGUCAAAUCAGCACGGCCCUUACGUCCAGGGCUACACACGUGCUACAAUGGCCGAUACAGAGGGCAGCUACCUGGUGACAGGAUGCAAAUCUCCAAAGUCGGUCUCAGUUCGGAUCGGAGUCUGCAACCCGACUCCGUGAAGUUGGAUUCGCUAGUAAUCGCGCAUCAGCCAUGGCGCGGUGAAUACGUUCCCGGGCCUU